UAGGUGGCAAGCGUUGUCCGGAUUUACUGGGUGUAAAGGGCGUGCAGCCGGGCUGACAAGUCAGAUGUGAAAUUCCAGGGCUCAACUCUGGAACUGCAUUUGAAACUAUUGGUCUUGAGUACCGGAGAGGUUAUCGGAAUUCCUUGUGUAGCGGUGAAAUGCGUAGAUAUAAGGAAGAACACCAGUGGCGAAGGCGGAUAACUGGACGGCAACUGACGGUGAGGCGCGAAAGCGUGGGGAGCAAA
rnacentral:rRNA from 1 species